rnacentral:lncRNA from 1 species
UUCAGAUUCAGAUUUGGGGUUUAUGUGUACAGACUGUGUAUUUAUAGUUAGAGAAGUAUCCAACAUUAAAACCAGAGAGCUAUCUAUGGGUGAAGCUGAGAGAAGAUAGAUAAUCAAUCAGAACCAUUGGACAAAUAUUGUUCAAAGUCAUCACUGGUGUACUAAAUAACAGGUGAUAAACAUGUAGACCAAGGAAAACCACAGCAGUUGAAACAGAAACAUUGUGAGCUCUGUAAAGGAACAACUGUAAGUGUCAUCAGCUCCAGCCUCCAGAGGGCAGGAGUGAAGGUAUCACAAUCUACUGUUAAUAGGGAUGGCUUCAUUAGUCCCCAUUGAUGUACAAUGAAUUCAGAAGUCUUCGGAAACAUUUUGUAUAUGAAUUUAAAGAAAGGUAAAAAACUGAAGUGAUCAGAAGAUCCUUCAUCAUGACCCAAAACCCACUGCCUGAAAAAAAAUCAUCACAGAAGAUGAAUUUUAUUCACUUUAAUUUAGUGAAAGUAAAGUUUAUCUGUUCCGUUACUGCAUUUUUAGCACUAUAAGGUGCACUGUAUUAUAAGGCACACUAUCAGUAAAUAUCUGUUUUCUGGUCUAUUUUUUAUUCAUAAGGCGCUCCUAAUUAUAAGGUGUAUUAUGCGACACUAGUAAGGAACCGUGGUGUUUUCAUUCUAAUUCAGCAGGUCUUGCCCCUGGGUGGUAAGACCUGUAAAGCUAAGCUAAGGUAAGUAAACAAAACUGUAAACAAACACACUCUGGAUGUUAAUCUACACAGAUUUCUCUCCUGAAAACGAUUUAUUUGGGUGAGUAAAGUGCUUCCGUUUAUUAACAGUAAGCUUAGAUUUGCAGAUUUUCACUGAGGCUAGCUGCGGUUAGCGGCUAAUGCUGCUCAACAGCACUACACUGAGGAACCCUGAGUGUUCUGAAGCAGAUGAGUGGCCAAGCCCUUCACUCACAGCCCCGGCACACCCCGCUCGGCCCCCUUUACUGUUAUCAAAUGGGUUUUGUUGCGUUUCCUUCCAGCGCCUUGAUGUUUUAACAAGCCCUCUUGUAUUAGCACCUCAUCUGAAUAACAAACAGGCGAGGCUGAGUUUUUGAUGUGCAUCCUCUCCAGAGGAGGAGUGGAGAUCCUACCAUUAUCUCCAUCCAUAAACACACACAGCACUCUGUUCUACGCUGCUCAGCGCCCAGGUCCCUACCCAAGAGUUAAUAUUUGGAUAUGCAGAAUUUGUUUGUGACAUACGCUUAUGUACACCAAUUAAAUUACAACUUUAAAUAUUUAAAUCCUGUGUACUUUACAAUUAUUUGGAGUAUAUUUCUUAGAAAACGG